GUGACUGCAGUCACAAGCGUACGAUCGAUCGCACGACGGGUUCGGGAGUGACUAAUCCGAAGUGCCGGUGAGGGUUGAAAG
rnacentral:sRNA from 1 species